GCCCGUGUAGCUCAGCGGUAGAGCAUUGUACUUAUGUGGUUACCAUUUGGCUCAAGCAGUCAGAGAUGCAAGGGUCUCGAGUUCGAAUCUCGGCAUGGGCA
rfam:Amanita muscaria Koide BX008 unplaced genomic scaffold scaffold_4, whole genome shotgun sequence.